AAUUCUAUAAUUUACCUUGCCGAUUCUUCUUUCAUUCGAUUCGUCGGCUUUUGGUUCAUCUAUUAGCGAUUCAUCUUAAAGUCGGUUGUUGUUAUUGUUACAUCGAAGAAGAAGAAGAAGAGAACAAUAUAGUUGUUGUUGAUUACAAUUCAUAUAUCACAUCAUUGUUUCUGUUGUUGUUGGCAAUUGAUGAAGCCGAAGAUUUAUGGAGCCAAAAGCAAUUUUAGUUGCAUAAUUUGAAAGAAAUUGCAGGUUGUGAUUCACGAAGAUAAAAAUUCACGUAUUUCAGAUCUAAAAUGGAAUUGCAGAUCUGUUAAGGUUCUAUAAUAGUUUCUGAUUUGGGGUUGCAGUGAAUCAGAUCUAAAUCACAAGUUUUUGUAGUGUUAAUCGUAGAAAGAAGGAGAAGGUUCAGAUUUGUUAUUGUUUUUGUGUUGUUCUUCGAGCAGAGAAUUAUUCAUGAUCUCAGUUGCUUUUGCUUUGUAACACACGAAGCCUACCGUCGCGCCACAAGUGUGUUACCAUCUUUGAAGUUAUCAGCCUCGGUAUUCACUGUCAGGGUUUCUGGAUCUCAUCCCAAAUCCCACCCCCAUAUGCUCUCUCCCCCUUUCUCUUUGCCGAUUCAAGAAGAUGAAGGCGAUGGCGAUUUUCCGAUUCAAGAAGAUGAAGGCGAUGGCGAUGGCGAUUCAAGUCGAUUGGAUGAUGUGGUAUUGGCUACAUUGAUUUGUUGAUAUUAUUGUUUAUUUUUGUUCGUAUUACAUUCUUUUUGACCAAUCAGUUCAAAUUAGGGUUUUAAUUUGUUAAGUUUUGUUACAUCUAUUGAGAUUAUCAAAAGAAAGAAGUGUGGGUUGUGUCAAUUACAUGUGUGUUCAUGGUAAGCAUAUCCACUAUCUCAACGUGAUUGAUUUAUGUUUUCUUUCCGAUUAACAAGUGAGUUUGUGUUCAUAGGGUUUAUGGUCCGGAUUCAAGUACGAAGAGAUGAUUUUGUGUUAAGAGCAAAGAUGAAUAUUUUCAAGGAUUGAUUUUUUGUUCAUAUAACCCUACAACUCAACUCUUCAGAUCUUGGAUUCGUCUCAACCAACCUUUUAUAUUCAGUGACGAUUCAUUGUUUUUUAAAUAUAUUUCUAAAGUUUCUUUCUUGGAAGACAAAGACGAGCAAGAGCGUUCCUGGAUUAGGCCAUUGACUUAUGAAGUCAAGAAAUGAAUGGUUGUUGGCUCAUGGCACUCGAGACUGGUGCGCAAGAUUGGAUGCCACUCGAGGACCCACAUGAUUUUAGAUUUUCUAGGCGGAUUGAUGGAGCCUAUCUCGAAUAGGGAAAAUCGUUAAGCGAAUGGGAUGUAUUUAGUCACUCUAGAGGUCUCUAGACUUAUUUGUCACUUUAUCAAGUUCAACACUUUAAAUUCGUUGACGAUUCACUCUUGAUUUAGCACAUUGUUUGUUGAAUUUCAAUCCGAUCUCAGGUGAACAAUCUCGAUUUCAGUUGUAUAUUUCAAUCAUUGUUAACUACGUUUGAUACGUUACGUACCCGCGGGUAGAGGGAUGGAUUUCGUUACUUGAACGUUUAUUUCUUUUAAAGGAUUAUUUUAACAUUUUUAAGUUAUAUAUUUGUGUGUUAGUCCACCCGCGAAAUUCGCGGGAUCUUAGACUAGUAAUGUAUUAAAGUACAAUACAUACAUGAUAUAUAUCAAGGGAGGAGGGCAGUCAUUCUAGAAACAAAGUAGAAUGUAAGUCACGUAUGACAUAACAAUAUUGUUACUUGUUAGGCCAGUUGUAAAUUAUUGUCGGUACUGUUUGGUUCGGACCCACUAAGGCUGCCUGCAGUAGUUCGAUUUGGAUUUGUUGUUGCGGGUCAUAGUUUUUUCGUAAUUCCUGGGAAUCUAGAUGACAAUGAUGUGUGUUGCAUUCAAAACGGAUUAUAAUAUAUCCCUAAUAAUUGCCUUAUAUUAUGAAAAAAUGAAGAACAAAACAAAAUAUAAUCAAGACUUAUAAGAAUGUUUUAAAUUUUAGAUCUUUGCUUUUUCAUAAUAUCGGGGAUUACUUGCCACGUUAUUACAAGGCUAUUUUCAAAAUAUAUAAUAUAAUAAUUACGUAAGUUAUUUGCUCACUACGUUAUAAAAUCACUUCGUAUUUUAUUACUAUAUUUGUAUAUCUUGAUAGUGGAGAGUUCAAAUGAAAAGAAAAUUUUUUGU
rnacentral:lncRNA from 1 species